rnacentral:misc_RNA from 1 species
UCUCUCUCUCUCUCUCUCCCCUCUCUUCUUCUUCUUCUUAUUUUAAUCUUCUAACCUUGAGUAUUGAGAUUUGAUGAUACUUCUUUUGCCUUGCGACUCGCAAGGUGGCCUCCGAAUUGGGUAUCUUCUGCUGCUGCAAUUCCUUCUCUAAUCUAUGUUGCUAGCUACCUCGCGACUAGCAAGGAGGCCUCGUAGUCUUUGUUUCUGUUGCUAUUACUAUUCCCUUGCUCUCGAAAUCUUCGGUUAGAUUUGAGGCAUUUAGGGGUUUGUGGUUGAGUUUUGUUUGUGUUGAAACCCAGUUGGCUUUGUUGAACUUUUUUUUUUUUAAUUAUUAUUGAUUUAUUGGAUUUGAUAGGUUUUUGAUCGUUGAUUAUGAGAAAAUUUGAGUAACUAUUACGCCUGCAUAUGGGUAUGAAUGUUUGAUUUGUUUCUUUUUUAUAAUAUUAAGUGUUGAUUCUCAUAACUUUUUGAUCUUUCAAUGUUUGAUUAGAUUCUUUUUAAUUGAUUGUUAUUGGUUUAUGGGUAUGAAUAAUGUUGAGUUUCUUACCUUCUUUGAGUUUCCAUUGCAAGGAAUUUAAUAAUGGAAAUAGUUGAGAGUUUUCUGUGUACGACAUUUACUAUUGUUUUCAGAUUUUUUAAUUGCAUUUUGGGUGCGAACUG